rnacentral:sRNA from 1 species
GCGUUUUUCUAGCGAGCUUGGGAGAGUGGAAGCCAAGUAGAGCAAAGUAGGCAAGUGGCGCUUUCUCUCAGCAAAUGGCUGAAGACAAACAGAUAAAAUGAAGUAAUAAAUUAGGGUGGAACCGCGUUUCUGACG